GUGCCAGCCGCCGCGGUAAUACCGGCAGCCCGAGUGAUGGCCGAUCUUAUUGGGCCUAAAGCGUCCGUAGCUGGCCGCGCAAGUCCGUCGGGAAAUCCACCUGCCCAACAGGUGGGCGUCCGGCGGAAACUGUGUGGCUUGGAACCGGAAGGCUCAGAGGGUACGUCCGGGGUAGGAGUGAAAUCCCGUAAUCCCGGACGGACCACCGAUGGCGAAAGCACUCUGAGAAGGCGGCUUCGACAGUGAGGGACGAAAGCGCGGGGAGCAAACAGGAUUAGAUACCCGUGUAGUCC
rnacentral:rRNA from 1 species